rnacentral:sRNA from 1 species
CCAUACCAGAUUCUGUGGCCUGCAGGUGACAUGCUGCCUAAGAGAAGCAGGAGGACGGUCAGCAAAAGCAUUGGUCCCACCUGCCCCUUUGCUGGAAGCUGUGAAGUCAGCAAGACUCAGAGGCGCCACUGCCCAGCCUGCAGGUUGCAGAAGUGCUUAGAUGCUGGCAUGAGGAAAGACACCUCCAGCUCAUCUCUUCAUCCAUCACCAGCCCUUGCCCACCCUGGCCCCUGUGAUGCCUCUGGUCACACACUUCGCAGACAUCAACACUUUCAUGGUACUGCAAGUCAUUAAGUUUACUAAGGACCUGCCCGUCUUCCGUUCCCUGCCCAUUGAAGACCAGAUCUCCCUUCUCAAGGGAGCAGCUGUGGAAAUCUGUCACAUCGUACUCAAUACCACUUUCUGUCUCCAAACACAAAACUUUCUCUGCGGGCCUCUUCGCUACACAAUUGAAGACGGAGCCCGUGGUGAGAUGGUGCUAGAGCAGUAGGGGGCAUGUGUCCUCAUGGUACAGUAUGUGGUCAGGUGACCUAGA